CCUACGGGAGGCAGCAGUGGGGAAUAUUGGACAAUGGGCGAAAGCCUGAUCCAGCCAUGCCGCGUGUGUGAAGAAGGUCUUCGGAUUGUAAAGCACUUUAAGUUGGGAGGAAGGGCCAUUACCUAAUACGUGAUGGUUUUGACGUUACCGACAGAAUAAGCACCGGCUAACUCUGUGCCAGCAGCCGCGGUAAU
rnacentral:rRNA from 1 species